rnacentral:lncRNA from 1 species
ACCAUUCUAACUCUAUUUAACCCUGUCAUAAACUGGACAAAUCCAUAUAAUUAAUCACAUUAAACUCAGAUCUUGUGAAAACUUGUCCCAUCUGCUAAUUAAAUUACCUCAUCAAAAUGGUGCAAAAAGUUGCUUUCCAGCUUCUUAUGAUGUUCAUCUUUGCUACUAUCAUUUCAACAGCCUCAUCAUCAAGUAAGUAACCAUAUUGUCAAACUAUAUAUAUACUCUAUCUGUUUCAUUUUAUGUGAUAGUAAUAUAUUUUUUAAUUUGUUUCUGAACAAAUGAUAUAUUUUUUUUCAUGUGAUGUAUACAUAUUAAAGAUUUCUCGAUUUUGAAUUUGUGGUUGAGUUUGAAGAGUCAAAUAUAGAAAGCAAGCAAAUCACCUAUAUAUAUAUAUAUAUAUUCCAACCAAGAAUUUGCUCAUGAUUUUAUGUAUAUGCAAUUUACACUAACUAAAACUAAUCUAACAAAUUGUCUUUUUGAUUUUGUGCACUUAUAGGAAUUCUCAUAGCAUCCAUUGAUGAACAAUCUCUCAACGCCUUACAGUCCCAGGUUCUCGUCCUCUCCUCCUCUCUCCCUCUUUAUAUAUAGGGCUAGUUCGCUAGCUACAUUUUAUGUAAAGAAAAAAGUCAUUUGAAUCUUAAUUUUCUCAAAUUAAUUUUGGCUGUUUAUGAUUUACUUAAACUACAUUACUCUAAAUGGAAAAUAGAAAGAGAUCCUUGAAGCGGAUCGGGCAUAUUUAAUUAGAAUUUUAAAUUUUCUGGAGGGAUUUAAUUUUGAAUCGAGGUAGAAAAGGAAAAAUUAGGAAAAUAAAUGCAUUUUCUGUUAGGAAUUAAACUCGAUACGAAUAAUGAGAGAAAUGAUUACAAUGAUUAUUCAAUUUUCUAACUUUCUUUUUAUUAAUCGCAAGAUAAGUAAAAGUCAAAUGGAACUAUUCUCGUUUACUUUAUAUUAUUAUUUGUUUAUUUUUUCAAAUCAAACAAUAAAAGAAUUAGAGAAAAUGCUGAGCAACAUGUGGCUUGUAGAUGUUAUACUCUCUUUUUGUUAAAUUUUAUGUUAUACUUCUUGCUAUUUCUUUUGCCGUAGUACAUUUGUUUUUACCAGUAUAUGAAAAUUAUUGAUCAAGCAUUACCAAAUUCCAUUACGUGGGUGCACUAAUUUCCUAUUGACCAGGAAACGGAAAGAAAAAGUACGCAUAAUUCCUAAUUAAUUCUAGUUGUCACUAUUAAUUUUGAAAUUGAUGCUCGAUUAUCAAUUUGUUUAUGAAAUUCAAUUUAAGAUCCUAAGAAAACACACACACAUAUAUUCCCUCAAAGCCAUGAAGUCCCAGAUCUAGCUAUUAUUCGAAGAACUUGUGAUAUUCCCUUAACUACAAAUUCAAUAGAAUAUAUAUAUAUAUAUAUAUAUAUUAAAACACAGGCGCGGAUUUGUAGGAAAUAUUAUGGGGCACGUGAACCCAUGGUAUCUCCGAAAAAUUAAAUAUUUGUGGUAUUUUUUAAGAUUUAUAUAAUAUUAACUGUUGACACUCAUACUCUAAGAAGAUUGAAUGAUGCACUUGGUUGAAAGUUGAGUUAUUUACGGAGAAGAAGAGAGAUCAAUUCCCACUAAAUAUUUUAUUUUUUAUUUUUUAGCCUUUUUUAGUAAUGCACUCAUCUACUAGAAAUUCUAGAUUCACUUCUGCUAUCACACACCAGGACCUUGCAAAACUUCUUAUUUCACAUGCUUAGAAGCAAGAGAGAAUGAUAUGAAUGACGCGAGCCUUUGUAAUCGGCCAUUAAUUAAUAAUAUAGUAACUCUUAUCUGUUUCAAAUAAGUCCUUUUAUUAUUCGACAUCAACAUAUAUUUCAAGUCGAAGACAUUGGAUUAUAUUAUACGUACAUGUAAUUUUGAGAUAAUUGACUUUGGUUCUCCCUAAAAUACUUGAGUAAUUGGCUUCUCUCUUUUGUAUAUAGGAUGCGAAUGACAUAGCAGUGGAUGAUGCAGACUUCUUUAUUGGAGAAGUAUCUGCAGAAAGAAGAAUGGAUUUGGUGUUAGACUAUUCUGCUCCACGAGCAAACAACCAGCAUAACCCAAAGCCUUGAUUUUUAAUUAAUUACCUGUAGUUGUUCUCUUGUUUUUAAUAAUUCAUUGUUGGUUUGAUCUCUUUCACGUAUGUAAUAAAGAAUUUAAUUGCGGAGGUUUUGGUCCAAUGCCCUUUUGUAUCAUGUUAUUAUUCUAUCAAUUAAUGUGAAUUUUUUGAAUCUUUUUUACAAGUGGUAUACUGCAAGUUUAUAUCAUAGCGUUUGAGGG